rnacentral:snRNA from 2 species
CAACUCUGGUUUCCCUUCAAUUCACGCAUAAAUCUUUCGCCUUUUACUAAAGAUUUCCGUGGAGGGGAACAAUUGAUGAGUAUUUCUAAUUUUUUGUGUGCCCAACGCAAGUUGGGUC